rnacentral:rRNA from 1 species
CAAAGGUAGCAUAAUCAUUAGAGGUUUAAUUGGAAUCUGGAAUGAAGGGUUGGACAAAGGAACAACUAUCUUAAAUUAUAUAAGUUGAAAUUUACUUUUAAGUGAAAAGGCUUAAAUAUUUUAGGGGGACGAUAAGACCCUAUAAAGCUUUAUAGAUAAUUUAAAUUUAGUUGAAUUAAAUUAUAAAAAUUAAAUUUAAUUAUUCUAUUUUGUUGGGGUGAUAUGAGUAUAAGUAUUGUUAACUGCUUAAUAGUAAUUCUAUCAUAGUAGCAUUAAUAAAUUGAAUGAUCCUUUUUAAAGAUUAAAAGACUAAGUUACUUUAGGGAUAACAGCGUUAUUUUUCUUGAGAGUUCAUAUCGAAAGAAAAGAUUGCGACCUCGAUGUUGAAUUAAAAUAUCUAUAUAAUGCAGCAGUUAUAUAAGAGGGUCUGUUCGACCUUUAAAUUUUUACAUGAUUUGAGUUCA